rnacentral:rRNA from 1 species
UACGUAGGGUGCAAGCGUUACUCGGAAUUACUGGGCGUAAAGCGUGCGCAGGCGGUUGUGCAAGACCGAUGUGAAAUCCCCGGGCGUAACCUGGGAAUGGCAUUGGUGACUGCACGGCUAGAGUGUGUCAGAGGGGGGUAGAAUUCCACGUGUAGCAGUGAAAUGCGUAGAGAUGUGGAGGAACACCGGUGGCGAAGGCGGCAUCCUGGACCGGCAUUGACGCUGAGGCGCGAAAGCCAGGGGAGCAAACGGG